rnacentral:tRNA from 1 species
GGCGCGGUAGCUCAGGUGGUUAGAGCGCAGGAUUCAUAACCCUGAGGUCGGGAGUUCAACUCUCCCCCGCGCUA